rnacentral:lncRNA from 1 species
GGCAUAAUGGUGGUGGUGGGGGGGGGGGGGGGGUGUUGUACACAGAGGGCUCCUGUUCCAGAUCUGUCACCCUAGCUUCUCUCUUCCCAACCAGAUAUGCUGCCAGAGAGGCUCUGAGAUCCACAAGAAGUGCAUCAGCCAGGAGGCAUCUGGAUCAAAAGCUGGUGAGGUUUGUGCUCCAGCUGUAACACCACAAGUGACCACGGCAGUUAGUGCCUGAGAACACAAGGCACACUCAGCAAAACGGGAAAGGGAAAGAAGCGCCCGCCAGGAGCAGAUGGAGGAAGAGCAGCAGACCUCAAGUUCUACCGCAUGGUGGCAGCAAGUGCCCGGUCAUCUGAAGGUUCUACUUCACCCCGGGAGACCACAGCAUCUGUAGAAAUUGUCAGCCAGUGAGGCGCGUCUAGAUUUCCAACCUCCUCUAUCUGUCUAAAGAACGUAUAGGAAGUGAAGACCAGCUGUCAAAUCAUUGAAAAGGACUUUAGGACUUUAAACUGUCCUUGCUUAGCCUCAAUUGUCCUAUCUUUAUAAUGGACAUAUUAAUAUUCCUUCAAAAUAUAUGACAUCAUUUGAAAACUGGCUGCAAAAUAAUUUAAAAGGAAAGGUUCCAAAUGCUUCAGAAACAAACUACGGGGAAGACUUUUUGAGGUGAGGAUAGAGACCAGUGUUUGAGGUGGAAGUGAGCUAAGGUUGGAGCUGUAGGACCUUCUAGUUUACUCAUAUUUACUGAGCAACUCCUAUCUGCCUAACCAUGUUGCUAAGCAUAAUUGGGGAUACAAAUUUGCACAAAUAGGCUUACCACAAAUAGGCUUUAAUAAUUAUUAUUAUUAUUUCCAACUGUGAGUUCCUUUAUUUUUCGGUAAAACAUUCCCACAUAUUUGGAAAGACAAAAUGAAUACAUGAAACAUGCAGAGAUAAAGUGCUAAACUUUGGGAAUAUACAGAGCUAAAAAUUAAGACAGUGGCACGAAAGGGGGAAAG